GUAAGACGGGUGGUAUAUCAAUUCAGGUUCAAACUAUACUAGUUUAUGAAGUGUACUACAGAGGGAUCUAAAAUUGAUGAUCUUAUAGUACAGGUUUUGCUUAAUAAAGGUGGUCUCUAAAGCAGGUUUGACUGUAGAUACAUAUGUGUUGAUUGUAUCUCUGGAUUAAGUAGAUCUGACGACAUAUUCUUUUAGUAACAAGUCUACAACACUAUAAAAGAAUAGUAUCUAUAUAUAAUAGGUUUAUAUUUUGAGAAUAUUCAGAUUUAUUAUAGCUCAUUUUCUGUUCACGGGGUCAUUGGAAG
rnacentral:lncRNA from 1 species